GCUCUGGUGGCCAAAGUGGUUAAUGCAUCUGCCUUGGAUGUGGCUGGUUGCGGGUUCAAACCCCGGCUGAGUCAUAACA